rnacentral:rRNA from 1 species
AUGAGUCAUUGGUAUCUGGCAGUCGUCAAUGCCCAAAAACGUGAGAUUCAAGUAUUGGACUCGCUUGGUUCUCGGAUCAAUCGGAGUGACCUUACUAUUACGCGCAUCUUGUGGACUAUUUAUGCUAAAUUUUAUGGAAUAUUGGACAGCAGAUGUAUUAACAGAUCAGUUCACCCAGGUAUUUCCUUUUAUACAUUAUCUCAUUAUUUUAUUGGAAUAAUGUUAUAUCGAUUUUUUGUAUAUCUUGCAGGAGGAUAUCAAGCACUUUCGACGAAAAUUAGUUGUCAUUUUGCUCGAUUCAGAACUGAAUAA